CAUUUAACCCGAUAGAUUCUUUGACUUUCGAAUUAAAUGCUCCUCCUUCAUGAAUCUCCUUUUAUAGUUGAAGCGAAGCGGUUCCAUACCUAAGCUUCUCCUACUUAUCUCUUUCCAUUCCUCUUCACCAAAACUUGUUAUUACUUAUUAGUGAAGUGAUUAACCAACGAAACCCUGGCUAAUCAAACAUAAUUAACACAAACGCAAUUCAAUUUCUGUUUGAGUGGUUAGUUAAAACUAACAUGACCAUGGACAAGGCAUCAACAGCACAGAGCAGCUCCGAUUCACCGACACGAGACCCGAAAGUAUUGUCCAUAGAUUGCAUCAAGGGAAGCUCUAAAGCCGACGAGUGGACCGGCGACAUGCUUCAAACCGGCGAUAUCGUCGAGGAGAUCCGAAUCGGAGGAUCCGUGAGUUCCUUGGUCCGGUUCAAGUCACCGUUCAAGAACNGAGUGGCGUCAAUAAGAUCCUUCAGGACUCGUACAAGAAGAAGGACACCUCCAUAGUGGUUCGGGUCAGGCGAGGACCCGACGAAUUCUCCGAGCUUCAGGCUUGCAUCGUUCCAAGUGACUCUGCUUCUAAGAAGAACUUCGUCCUUCGCUCCAUCGCCGAUCCCAAUUACGUCGUCGGCUUCGUGGAUCGAACCGAAGCUGAAUGCUUCGACCUUCAAGCUUCUAGAUCGACUAGGAUGGUAAAUGCACUUACGAGAACAAAGCUACAGGAUGGGUUUGUUUCCUUUCCAUGGGAAAGGAGGAUGCAAGAAAUGCUAUCAGUCCCAAAUUCCAGCAACUUUCUUUCCAUGUUACUCCUUCCAAAGGCUUCAGAUAGAGUAUCUUCUCGUUACAAUGAUCUCGAUGACACCCUGGCCAGAGCAAAUGCCUGGCUUAAUGCAGCUCAAGCUUCUGGAGUCCCCAUUGUCUUCAUGAACAUUCAAACUGAGUCCCUUCUUACUAAGAUAUCUGGAGAGACAGCUUCUUCCACUGUGAAUGCAGGAUCAUUAUCUGACUUAUCUAACUUAGCAAAUGCAAGCCUCUACGGCUUUGAGGAUUACCACGGAAUAGACAUUGGCGUUGUUCGUGCCGUUCGCCUCUGGUAUGCUCCAAUUGGAGGAGAGUUCUCUAUUGAGAUAAAACUAAAAGAGGAUGAUUCAAAGCUUGGUUUUGCAAUUAGUCGUACAGAAGAGGGAUUUAUAUUUGUUUCAUCGGUUACUAAUCAAGAAAACGUGCCUGCAACAAGGUCAGUGCUAAGCAAUCUGUAUAAACUAGCAACAGAUACUUGUAGAUUGUUGAUUAUCUCAAGAGUUUCAAAUCAAAAAGUGCUUCCGUGGAUGGUCUCUUCAACCGGUGCCAUUCGAUGUUUCGACACAGUUUCGCUAAGCCAGAAGCUGUCCUUACACCGACACACCAGAGUUCCAAUCCUUCUUCAUGUCUUCCUUUGGGACCGAGCGUUGGCUUCUUCAAGCGGAGGGAGCAAUCGAUUCAGGGUCUUGUCUCCUCCUACACACCAUCCUCUUCCAUUGCCUCCCAAUGAAUCUGAUUCAAGUGAUAUCACCCCUGUUGGUUCGCCCCGCCUCGCCAGAGACACAGCCGGGGAACUUUCUUUUAGAUUUCAUGACUUCUCCUUAUCCAGUAACUGGGUAUGAAUAUGAUUAACGAUGUACUACACACACCCCUUGAAUUUUUGUUUGCUUUUGUAUCCCUUUUAACCUUGCAAGAAGAGUUUCUAACAAGGGCUUUAAUUGUUGUUUGUUAUUGCACAAUGUACAUACACAUAAGAUACAUUGCUUUAGAAUUCAGAGAUUCAAGGAUGUACUAGUUUCUUUUGUUUCA